UACGUAGGGGGCAAGCGUUGUCCGGAUUUAUUGGGCGUAAAGAGCGUGUAGGCGGCCAGGUAGGUCCGUUGUGAAAACUCGAGGCUCAACCUCGAGACGCCGAUGGAAACCAUCUGGCUAGAGUCCGGAAGAGGAGAGUGGAAUUCCCGGUGUAGCGGUGAAAUGCGCAGAUAUCAGGAGGAACACCAGCAGCGAAGGCGGCGCUCUGGGCUGGAACUGACGCUGAGGAGCGAAAGCGUGGGUAGCAAACAGG
rnacentral:rRNA from 1 species